rnacentral:rRNA from 1 species
CAGCCGCCGCGGUAAUACGUAGGGUGCGAGCGUUAAUCGGAUUUACUGGGCGUAAAGCGUGCGCAGGCGGCCCGUUAAGACAGGUGUGAAAUCCCUGGGCUCAACCUAGGAAUUGCGCUUGUGACUGGCGGGCUCGAGUACGGUAGAGGGGGGUGGAAUUCCUGGUGUAGCAGUGAAAUGCGUAGAGAUCAGGAGGAACACCGAUGGCGAAGGCAGCCCCCUGGGCCUGUACUGACGCUCAUGCACGAAAGCGUGGGGAGCAAACAGGAUUAGAUACCCUGGUAUUCCACGCCCUAAACGAUGGGUACUAGCCGUUUGGUGCGCGAUAGCGCUGAGUGGCGAAGCUAACGCGUGAAGUACCCCGCCUGGGGAGUACGGCCGCAAGGUUGAAACUUAAAGGAAUUGGCGGG